rnacentral:rRNA from 1 species
CCUACGGGCGGCAGCAGUGGGGAAUAUUGCACAAUGGGGGAAACCCUGAUGCAGCGACGCCGCGUGAGUGAAGAAGUAAUUCGUUAUGUAAAGCUCUAUCAGCAGGGAAGAAAAUGACGGUACCUGAGUAAGAGGCCCCGGCUAACUACGUGCCAGCAGCCGCGGGAAUACGUAGGGGGCAAGCGUUAUCGGGAUUUACUGGGGGUAAAGGGAGCGUAGACGGCAGGGCAAGUCUGGAGUGAAAGGCGGGGGCUCAACCCCCGGACUGCUCUGGAAACUGUACGGCGGGAGUGCAGGAGAGGAAAGUGGAAUUCCAAGUGUAGCGGUGAAAUGCGUAGAUAUUAGGAGGAACACCAGUGGCGAAGGCGGCUUACUGGACUGUAACUGACGUUGAGGCGCGAAAGCGUGGGGAGCAAACAGGAUUAGAUACCCGAGUAGUC